CAUGCAAGUCGAGCGAACAGAUGAGAAGCUUGCUUCUCUGAUGUUAGCGGCGGACGGGUGAGUAACACGUGGGUAACCUACCUAUAAGACUGGGAUAACUCCGGGAAACCGGGGCUAAUACCUGAUAAUAUUUUGAACCGCAUGGUUCGAUAGUGAAAGGCGGCUUCGGCUGUCACUUAUAGAUGGACCCGCGCCGUAUUAGCUAGUUGGUAAGGUAAUGGCUUACCAAGGCGACGAUACGUAGCCGACCUGAGAGGGUGAUCGGCCACACUGGAACUGAGACACGGUCCAGACUCCUACGGGAGGCAGCAGUAGGGAAUCUUCCGCAAUGGGCGAAAGCCUGACGGAGCAACGCCGCGUGAGUGAUGAAGGUUUUCGGAUCGUAAAACUCUGUUGUUAGGGAAGAACAAAUUUGUUAGUAACUGAACAAGUCUUGACGGUACCUAACCAGAAAGCCACGGCUAA
rnacentral:rRNA from 2 species